rnacentral:rRNA from 1 species
UACAGAGGGUGCAAGCGUUGAUCGGAAUUACUGGGCGUAAAGCGAGCGUAGUCGGUUAUUUAAGUCGGGUGUGAAAGCCCCGGGCUCAACCUGGGAAUUGCAUUCGAUACUGGAUAGCUAGAGUUCGGCAGAGGGAAGCGGAAUUUCCGGUGUAGCGGUGAAAUGCGUAGAUAUCGGAAGGAACAUCAGUGGCGAAAGCGGCUUCCUGGACCAGAACUGACGAUCAGGCUCGAAAGCGUGGGGAGCAAACAGG